AAUGAACGCUGGCGGCAGGCCUAACACAUGCAAGUCGAACGAGUGGCGGACGGGUGAGUAACGUCUGGGAAACUGCCUGAUGGCUGGGGAUAACUCCUGGAAACGGUAGCUAAUACCGAAUACCAUCGGCUUCGCCCAGAUUGGACUAGCUAGUAGGUGGGGUAAAGGCUCACCUAGUCGAAGAUCCCUUGCUGGUCUGAGCGGAUGACUGGCCACACUGGAACUGGGACACGGUCCAGACUCCUACGUGAGGAAGCGGUGGGGAAUAUUGCACAGUGGGCGAAAGCCUGAUGCAGCCAUGCCGCGUGAGUGAGGAAGGCCUUCGGGUUGUAAAGUACUGUCAGCGGGGAGGCGUUACCCGCAGAGAAAGCACCGGCUAACUCCGUGCCAGCCGCCGCGGUAAUUC
rnacentral:rRNA from 1 species